rnacentral:rRNA from 1 species
ACUAUUGGACAAUGGGCGCAAGCCUGAUCCAGCCAGGCCGCGUGAGAGAUGAAGGCCUUGGGGUUGUAAAGCUCUGUCAGUGGGGAAGAUAAUGACGUUACCCGCAGAAGAAGUCCCUGCUAGCAUAGUGCCAGCAGCGGUGGUAAUACGAAGGGGGCUAGCGUUGUUCGGAUUUACUGGGCGUAAGGCGCACGUAGGCGGAUUGGUCAGUUAGGGGUGAAAUCGCGGAGCUCAACUCCGGAACUGCCUUUAAUACUGCCGGUCUAGAGAACGAGAGAGGUGAGUGGAACUCCUAGUGUAGAGGUGGAAUUCGUAGAUAUUAGGAAGAACACCAGUGGCGAAGGCGGCUCACUGGCUCGGUACUGACGCUGAGGUGCGAAAGCGUGGGGAGCAAACA